AGGGCACCACCAGGAGUGGAGCCUGCGGCUUAAUUUGACUCAACACGGGAAAACUCACCCGGCCCGGACACCGGAAGGAUUGACAGAUUGAUAGCUCUUUCUUGAUUCGGUGGAUGGUGGUGCAUGGCCGUUCUUAGUUGGUGGAGCGAUCUGUCUGGUUAAUUCCGAUAACGAACGAGACUCUAGCCUAUUAAAUAGACGUCGGGUUCUCUGCACUCGACGGUCUUCUUAGAGGGACAAGGUGCUUUUAGCACCGCGAAACAGAGCAAUAACAGGUCUGUGAUGCCCUUAGAUGUCCGGGGCCGCACGCGCGCUACACUGAAGGAAGCAGCGUGUAACAACCUUGUUCUAACGAACUGGGUAACCCGUGGAACUUCCUUCAUGAUUGGGAUAGGGGUUUGCAAUUGUGCCCCUUGAACGAGGAAUUCCCAGUAAACACUAGUCAUCAGCUAGUGCUGAUUACGUCCCUGCCCUUUGUACACACCGCCCGUCGCUACUACCGAUUGAAUGGUUUAGUGA
rnacentral:rRNA from 1 species